rnacentral:pre_miRNA from 1 species
UCGAUGAUCCGCGGCUCCGCAGCGCAGGCACAAGCUGGAUCGAUCUUCACCAGCGCAGUCUGCUGUAGUGUGGCCGCGCUCCAAGCAACGG